rnacentral:rRNA from 1 species
UAGGUUUAAGAGACAACCUGGAGAACUGAAACAUCUAAGUAACCAGAGGAAAAGAAAUCAAUUGAGAUUCCGUUAGUAGUGGCGAGCGAACGCGGACUAGGCCAGUAGUUUUGUUAAAAAAAUUUGAAUAGUUUGGAAAUGCUAACCAUAGAGGGUGAUAGUCCCGUAUGAGUAAUGUUUAACAAAAUUCUUGAGUAAAGCGGGACACGAGAAAUCCUGCUCGAAUAUAGGGGGACCACCCUCUAAGCCUAAAUACUCUUCAGUGACCGAUAGUGAACUAGUACCGUGAGGGAAAGGUGAAAAGAACCCCUAUUAGGGGAGUGAAAUAGAACCUGAAACUGCAUGCCUACAAUCAGUCCGAGCCUUUUUUAGGGUGAGGGCGUACCUUUUGUAUAAUGGGUCAGUGACUUAAUUUAUUAAGCAAGCUUAAGCCAUCUAGGUGUAGGCGUAGCGAAAGCAAGUCUUAAUAGGGCGAUUAGUUUAAUGAAUUAGACCCGAAAACGAAUGAGCUUACCAUGAGCAGGUUGAAAGUUGGGUAACGCCAACCGGAGGACCGAACCAGUUGACGUUGAAAAGUCUUUGGAUGACUUGUGGUAAGGGGUGAAAGGCCAACCAAAUUCGUAGAUAGCUGGUUUUCCGCGAAAACUAUUUAGGUAGUGCGUUGAAUAAAUAGAUGUUUAGAGGUAGAGCACUAAAUGGGCUAGGGGGAAGAGAUUCUUACCAAACCUAAUAAAACUCCGAAUGCUAGACAUUGUUCUUCAACAGACAGACUGUGGGUGCUAAGGUCCAUGGUCGAGAGGGAAAGAGCCCAGACCACCAGAUAAGG